rnacentral:rRNA from 1 species
CGGCACGGGUGAGUAACACGUGAGUGACCUGCCUUUUAGACUGGAACAACUUACCGAAAGGUGAGCUAAUGCCGGAUGAGUUAUAUAAGUGCAUGUUUAUAUAGGAAAAGUUGGGGAGACCUGACGCUGAAAGAUGGACUCGCGUCCCAUUAGCUAGUUGGUAGGGUAAUGGCCUACCAAGGCGACGAUGGGUAGCCGGCCUGAGAGGGUGGCCCGGCCACACUGGGACUGAGACACGGCCCAGACUCCUACGGGAGGCAGCAG